rnacentral:rRNA from 2 species
GGGGGGCACAGUAGGGAAUCUUCCACAAUGGGCGCAAGCCUGAUGGAGCAACACCGCGUGAGUGAAGAAGGGUUUCGGCUCGUAAAGCUCUGUUGUUGGAGAAGAACGUGCGUGAGAGUAACUGUUCACGCAGUGACGGUAUCCAACCAGAAAGUCACGGCUAACUACGUGCCAGCAGCCGCGGUAAUACGUAGGUGGCAAGCGUUAUCCGGAUUUAUUGGGCGUAAAGCGAGCGCAGGCGGUUGCUUAGGUCUGAUGUGAAAGCCUUCGGCUUAACCGAAGAAGUGCAUCGGAAACCGGGCGACUUGAGUGCAGAAGAGGACAGUGGAACUCCAUGUGUAGCGGUGGAAUGCGUAGAUAUAUGGAAGAACACCAGUGGCGAAGGCGGCUGUCUGGUCUGCAACUGACGCUGAGGCUCGAAAGCAUGGGUAGCGAACAGGAUUAGAUACCCUGGUAGUCCAUGCCGUAAACGAUGAGUGCUAGGUGUUGGAGGGUUUCCGCCCUUCAGUGCCGGAGCUAACGCAUAAGCACUCCGCCUGGGAAGAACGACC